rnacentral:rRNA from 1 species
CGGAAGGCAGCGAGGGGAAUAUUGCACGAAUAGGGCGAAAGCCUGAUCGCAGCCUAUGCCGCGUGUAAUGGAACGUAAGGGCCUUUAAGGGGUUGUAAAGUUACUUUUCAUACGGGGAGGAAAAACAAACUAAGUAAUUUUAUUCUUGACGUUACCCGAAAAGAGCACCGGCUAACUCCGUGCCAGCAGCCGCGGUAAUACGGAGGUGCUAGCGUUAAUUCAGAUUACUGGGCGUAAAGAGGCACGGUAGGUGGUUUUUUUAAGUUACAGAAAUUCGUAGAAAUCCCCUUGGGACUUUAACCUGGUAAACUGCAUUUUGAAACUGAAAUCUAAGAGUAAUCGUAGAGGGACGGUAGAAUUCUAGGUGUAAGUCGGUAGAAAUGCGUAAGAUAUCUGGAGGAUACCUGUGCGU